rnacentral:tRNA from 2 species
GCCGGUUUAGCUCAGAGGUCAGAGCGUCCGCUUUGUAAGCGGAGGGUCGUCGGUUCGACUCCGACAAUCGGCUCCA